GCUAGCAGCCAGCUCUCUGCAACCACAUGGUCGCCCACUUAAGAUAAGCAGGGCUGCGCCCGGUCAGUACGUGGAUGGGAGACCACAUGGGAAAGCUUGGUUACUGCAGGUA
rnacentral:rRNA from 1 species